rnacentral:lncRNA from 1 species
UGAAUGCAGCCCCCACCCCCUUUCUUCCUAAACCUAACGCUGAAACGGAAUCAGACAGGGAGAGAGGGAGGAAAUCAGAGUGUCAUCUAAGCAGCCACCGUUCAAUCGCCAGAGCCACCACCGGGGGUCCUUCGCCGUCAUUGUCGUCAACAUCCACCCGAGUUCCAGCGCUACGAAGUCCAGCCAUCGUGACCUUCGUGGAGCCCGCGUCGCUGUCGCCUCGGCUGUUCCCACCGCCGCUGGAUCCGUCGCACGUUGUCGUCUGAGGAGCCACCGCCGCCGUUGCUUGUUGUCUCCCUUAGGGCCGUCACCGUCGCUGGAGCCAGCCGCCUCCGUCGCUGUUCAUCCUUGUCGUCAUCAUCGCCAUUCUGUGGAGGCCGCAGAGAGGAACGCGAACCAGGAGCCAUAGCGCCGCCGCCGUCGAUCUGUCACCGUGCUGCUGCGUCGCCGUUGAUGAAGUUUCUGCCACCGCCGUGAACUGCGAAUAGAGGAGAGUUACUGCGUCGCCGUUAAUGAAACUUCUGCCACCGUCAUGAACUACGAAUAGAGGAGAGGAAAAGAGAUGAGUUCGCAAGGGAGAAGAGGAAGCAGCGCUGCCCUUCGUCGCCGCUGCUGCUAAGGUUUGUGGAAGAGAGUGUCGUCGUCGCCGUGAGUGGAGUCCACCGUCCGAGCCGCCACUAGAGAGCGCCGCUGCUACCAUGUGUACAGAGAAGAGGAGAGCCGCGAGAAUCAAGGGAAGAAGAUGUUGUUCUGCCUCUGCUUCUGGGUUUUGGAAUCUGACAUAAGCGCCACUGCCGCUGUUAGAGUUUAUGUUGCUCUGGCCUUGCUCUGGCUCUAAUCUGAAUUGUUACUGUUGCUGUUUGGCUGAUGCUGAGGCCUUCCAUCAUCAUUGGAGCUUCCCAGAAUCAUCGUGGUUGCUGCCAAGAGAGCUGAAUGGGUGCUGGAAAUUGCUAACGGAGCUGCUGUGCUUGGCAAUUUUCGUGAGUUUCGACAUUGAGGUAGG